CGUGAGUACUUAGCAGAAACUCAUCUCGCCCAUGUUUUUGCACAUGGACGUACUGGAGUGCCUGGGCAAUUCAUGCACACGCUUACGAAGGAGUAAAAAGAAGUCUUUUUUUUUAACGUACCUUUCACACUGGUCAACCAGCAGGGAAAAAUAUUAUAAUUUAGCUCGCAAAAGAAACUUCGUCCUUCCGCGAAAAAGCACAGCCAUACAAUUCGCACUCAGGAUAUCGUCACACGUCUGUCUGGAGUUAGCAGCUUCCAUAUGUGAAAGUUCAGUCGGCAACAAAUUAAAAGAGGAUGAGAAAUAAUGUGAAAAGGAAAAUAAUUUCUAGCGGUCCAAAAAUUAAAAAUUACGGUAAUUUGAACCCGAAACAACACAUGUACCACUAAUUAUUAGCAAUUCCCAGAAUAAAAUAAAUACAUUUUCAAAUAUAUUCUCCACAAAUAAAACGACGAUUUUAUUUACACUGUUCUCGAACAUGCCAGGCGUCGCUGCUCGGAGAGGCCAUCACCGGGAAGGGCAUCCUCGCCCAGCUGAACCUGGAGACGGGCAUUCCCAUCUACGAGGCGGAGCCCCUCCUCCUCUUCUUCAUCCUCUUCACCCUCCUCGGCGCCAUUGGUGCUCUCGGAGACCGUGGUACCUUCGUCGACGACGUCACCGGACUCGACAAGGCCGUCAUCCAACCCGGCAAGGGCUUCCGCGGCGCCCUCGGCCUCAGCGAGGGAGGUAAAAAAUCCAUCGCAAUACAUACUGCAUCAUCCAUGCACUUCACCCAGCGCCGCUAGCUAGAUCUGACGAAUAUUCUGUGCAAUGAUGCAGGGCCGCUGUUUGGGUUCACCAAGUCGAACGAGCUGUUCGUGGGGCGGCUGGCGCAGCUGGGCGUGGCCUUCUCCAUCAUCGGCGAGAUCAUCACGGGGAAGGGCGCGCUGGCGCAGCUCAACAUCGAGACGGGCGUGCCCAUCAACGAGAUCGAGCCGCUCGUGCUCUUCAACGUCCUCUUCUUCUUCAUCGCCGCCAUCAACCCCGGAACCGGCAAGUUCAUCAUCGGCGACGACGAAAAAGAGUAAAUCAUGCGCAUG
rnacentral:lncRNA from 1 species